rnacentral:rRNA from 1 species
AUUGAACGCUGGCGGCAGGCCUAACACAUGCAAGUCGAGCGGAUGAAGAGAGCUUGCUCCCUGAUUCAGCGGCGGACGGGUGAGUAAUGCCUAGGAAUCUGCCUGGUAGUGGGGGACAACGUUUCGAAAGGAACGCUAAUACCGCAUACGUCCUACGGGAGAAAGUGGGGGAUCUUCGGACCUCACGCUAUCAGAUGAGCCUAGGUACGAUUAGCUAGUUGGUGAGGUAAAGGCUCACCAAGGCGACGAUCGUUAACUGGUCUGAGAGGAUGAGCAGUCACACUGGAACUGAGACACGGUCCAGACUCCUACGGGAGGCAGCAGUGGGGAAUAUUGGACAAUGGGCGAAAGCCUGAUCCAGCCAUGCCGCGUGUGUGAAGAAGGUCUUCGGAUUGUAAAGCACUUUAAGUUGGGAGGAAGGGCAGUAAGUUAAUACCUUGCUGUUUUGACGUUACCGACAGAAUAAGCACCGGCUAACUUCGUGCCAGCCGCCGCCGUAAUAC